rnacentral:rRNA from 1 species
GAAUUUUAUAUAAAUUUUGUUAAAUUUUUAGAUUUAAAUUUUAGUAAUAAAAUUUAUAUUUAGUUGGGAGGAUAAUUAAAUUAUAAAAACUUUAAUUAAUAUUAAGAUAUUGAUAAAUAAUAAAAAAGAGUUAUUUAUAAAUUGUAAAAGAAUUAAUUACCUUAGGGAUAACAGCGUAAUAUUUUUGAAGAGUUCAUAUCGAUAAAAAUGUUUGC